UACAGAGGGUGCGAGCGUUAAUCGGAAUUACUGGGCGUAAAGCGCGUGUAGGCGGUUUGAUAAGUUGGAUGUGAAAGCCCCGGGCUUAACCUGGGAACUGCAUUCAAAACUGUCAGGCUAGAGUAGAAUAGAGGGGGGCGGAAUUUCCGGUGUAGCGGUGAAAUGCGUAGAUAUCGGAAGGAACACCAGUGGCGAAAGCGGCCCCCUGGAUUCAUACUGACGCUGAGGCGCGAAAGCGUGGGGAGCAAACAGG
rnacentral:rRNA from 1 species